UCCUUUAGCCAUUCAGAGCGGUGUCACAUUUUGCCCGCUGGUGCCUGACUUGAUGUGCAACUUUGAUAAAUAAAGAGAGGAUUAGUAAUCAUUUUCUACCUAGCCAGGAUAUCUCACAGACAGGCCAAACUUUCAAAGAAUUUUGAAGUCCAUAUGCACAAUGGAGUGGAACUGGUUGGUUUGUGCAGGCUCAUUGAGGGAAGAAACCUCUUCAUUAUGUCUCAUGCAACAGGGGAGGGAAUAAAUCUCUUUUUCAGUUUUAUAAUCUAUAACCAGGAAAUACUGUGUGCAGUUUUCAUCCCAUCGAUUCCAAAAAAGAGGAAACAGUGGGGGAGGCAGGUGAUCCAACACCAUUGGAUAUACACAAGAUACAUUCUAGAAUGAGACUGAAAUUGCUUUCAAUGUGUUGCACUACAUGUCUCUUCAAAAUAAUAACAAAGAAUUGGAAAAUAUAUACAUAUUUAAUAUGUGACUUUAAAUAACUUAUUACGUUUUGAUUCUGGGGUCCAUGUAGGUCUGGUUCUGGGGUGUGUCAUAUUGCUUUGGGUUCUCAUGGGAAAAUAUUUGGAUGAAAUGGCAGAGAAGCAGUAAGAAAACUGAAGCAGGUGGGGGAGAUGACAAGGUCGAGGGUCAAACGGCCCUGGCAAACCCUAUACGGUUGUUGCCGCGAUCAAACUCUGUAUAGUAGCGGGCAAUAAAAUUGGCGCCAAGAAUCCAGAGAGGACCAGUAGGUGGCGGCACAUCCAGGCCCUUGAAAGCCACGGUGCAGAUGUCCUCUCCAAACUGCGACUGCUGGGGACGACCACAGAGACAAGCAGAGAAUCAUAUGCCAGUCGUGUGCAAGAUUGAUCAAGGAAGUGUUUACAGCAUGAGCAUCCUAGCUGCCAAAUCCCAUACCUCUCUCCAUAUACCAGUGCCUGACUCUGAGAAAGGUUAUCUCAUGGAAGGUCCUUGGUAGGCCUUUAACAUACAGCUGGAAUACAUUUGCAUUGCAUUGUCUAAAAUCUUAUCCAUCAGACCUGAUUAUUUGUCUUUGAAAUAAAUAUUUCUAAUCUGUAA